GAACGAAGUAGCAAUACUUAGUGGCAGACGGGUGAGUAACAUGUGGGUAUCUACCCUUUGGCCUAGAAUAACACGAGGAAACUUGUGCUAAUACUGGAUAAGUCUUAACGGAGAAAGCUUUAUGCACCAUUGGAUGAGCCCGCACUUGAUUAGUUUGUUGGUGGGGUAAUGGCCUACCAAGACUGUGAUCAAUAGCUGAUUUGAGAGGAUGAUCAGCCACAUUGGGACUGAGACACGGCCCAAACUCCUACGGGAGGCAGCAGUGGGGAAUCUUGCACAAUGGAGGAAACUCUGAUGCAGCGAUGCCGCGUGAGUGAAGAAGGCCUUUGGGUUGUAAAGCUCUUUCGUCGGGGAAGAAAAUGACUGUACCCGAA
rnacentral:rRNA from 1 species